UCUUGUGACCGUUGGAGCAGCAAAUGGGGCACGUGAGACAGCUGGUGACAGGCUGGCCGGGAAUGGCCAAAAGGUAAAGCACCUUUUGGAGCAGGACCACACAUGAGACAAUCUGGGUUGUCCAAUUCAAACUGAGCAAAUCUGGCCAUUGAUUCUUCAUCCUAUCUUCUCCACUUUACAGCUUGCACAAGACCACUCCAAGACCAGAUCCUGAUCAUCCAUCUUCAAGUCUUUUAUCAGCCAUUAGAUCUAGGUUAUGAUAUUGGAAAUGUACAGCUCAUAUAUAAGCCUUAGGUUGGCGAUUUGUAACACUCAAGGGAGUGAGGGGGAGUUUCCCUCUCCACUUCAUGAUAAACUUGUUCUUGAAUCUGAAACCCUAAUCUCUAAUCUCUUAUUCUCCUAAUCUCUCAGUAUCUUAAUCUAUGUUCCUAAAUCUCUUAUUCUCCCAUAAACACUCUCAUUAAUCUGUCUUUCUAAAUCACCUAGAGCAAGCUCUCAUCAUUUUCCAUUGGAGUUUAUACACACACAUACAACCAGACAAGAGAACUCUACAAAUCUCAUACGUCUCUCGUAUAACUUCAGAUACAGCGACUGAGAACCAGAAGAACACUACAGUGACUGAUCAGAACACUAUUUCUAUGUCUGUGUCUGAUGAAUCUAAAAGUACUGCUCUCACUGAUUCAGUUGAUAACUCACCCCAGGCUGGAGCUGUAAGUGAUGAAACUGUUGAAUGUUCUUGGAUCAAAUAGAGCUUGAAUUUGAAGGUAUGUUAAGAUCUCAAUCUUUAUUUCUCAUAGUGAUUGUGUUUAUGGUUUAAUAGGAUGUUGAAUCAAGAAAAGGUCUUCUUAGAAAGUCAAAUCUUAGUGAUUGUUUCUUGAUUAAUUGCGGCUCAUCUCAAUGGUCUUAACCAAGCGGGAUCCGAUGGUAUCAAGGCCGAGUCUUUUCUGCUGAGAGACGAAAGAUGUUGGAAGGCAUGGUUGCCUAAGACAUGUUUUGUAUUAAAACAGAUAUAACUAUGAACGCAGACUGCAGAGGUGGACUUAGGAUAAGUAGGUGUCUGAGAAGAUGUUGGGAGUGGUCGGGUGGACUGGUAAUGGGUUCACACAAUAACAAGAAGAAAGAAGGAUCCAUAAUUAAUCAAGAACAUCUCCUUUUCGCUUUAAGUUUCAUUUUUGAAUUAGGGAGAUUGAUGCUUUUGAUUCUUGCAGAGAUGGUUAUGAUAAUGUAUGGAAAUGUUAUAUGAUCAAAAGAAAAUCUAAUACUAAUAAAAAAUUAAAAAAAAAUAAAAAUAAUAUUUUUACUUCAAAUUUUAAACCCUAAACAUGCCCUAAACUUCAACAAUUUGUAGUUUACAAUUUAUGCAAUAUAUUUUUACCAAUGAAAAAUAAUGAGGAUGAUUAACAAAAGAAUGAUAACUGAUAUUUAUAAAGUUAUAUUUAAAAUUUUGAUUUGUAAAAUAACAUUCCUUUAUGAUUGCUCAAUAAAUUUGAAAUUUCAUAAUAAAAUAAAGAUUGUGUUUAGAGAUUAAAUUAGCAUUUAUGGUUUGAGGUUUAGAUUUAAUAAUUGAAGAAGAUUUUAUAAAAUGUUUAAUUUCGAAUUUAAACAUAAGAUUUGAGAUUAAAAUAAAAAAAAAAUGUUUAAGUUUUAAGAGUUGUGUGUUGAAGUUUAGGGUUUCAACCCUAACCCCUAAACAUAAACUUUAAAACUUCAAUUUUUUUCAUAAUAUAACUUUAGUCUUAAAUUUAAAUUCAAAAUUUAAUCAUUUUAAAAAUACAAUCUAAACUUCAAAUUAUAAACCUCAAACAGUAAAUCAUAAAUCUACAUCCUAAAUCUAAUCCCUAAACUCCAAAUUUAAACCUUGCAUACAAAAUUUUAAAACUCUAAUCUUUUAUUAUUUAAUUUCAAAUCUUAAAUUUAAUCUUAAAAUCUAAUAUUAAAUCUUAAAUCUAUACACAAAACAAUAUCCGAACCCUAAAUUUAAUCUUUUCACAAUUCACUCUCAAAUCUUAAACUUCAAAUUUCAAACUUAAACUUUAUACCUCAAAUCAUAAAACCUAAACUUCAAAGCUUAUAUCUAAUCUAAAACCAUAUACUUAAUUCAAAUAUUCAAAACCAUAAUUCUAUACCCUAAACUUUAUUUCGUUGACCAUAAUUCUAAUUCAUAUACUCUAAACACUAAUAACAAAGUUUAAAUUUUUAAAAUUUAAAUUCAAAUAUAAAUUAAUUUUUUCAAAUUUGAAAUUGUGAAAUCUAAAUCUGUAAAUUUUGUAUCAGAAUAAUUUAUGUACAUUGCAAUUUUACCACUAAUACUUUGGGUAUUAAAACAAAAAUAGAAUAAGAAAGGAGUUACAAAUAUUUGAUUGGUCAAAACAAACUGACCAAUAAUGUACAAGGGUGGAGAUCAGACCUUUUAAAUCACAACCGUUGAUUAACCUAAAUCUAAUGGACAAGAUCUUGUCUCUCUAAUCUCUUCUCAUGUGUUUCUUCCUGUCCAUUUCUCUUCUCUUUUGUUUCCACUUUUUUUUCUUCGUUAAUCAUGCUCCCUAAUCUCACAGAUCUUGUCUCUGUAUUAUCUUUCUUCAUCACCACUAAACCUUUGUCACCAGCAGAUCUCGUCAUCGUCUCCACCAUAUCUCGUCGUUGUUACAGCCAUAGCUUCGUCACCACCAUAGCUUGUCCAUCGAGGCGAGGAUGAAAAAUUGUUUGACCUCCUCACCACUACGACAUUGAAAAAGGCGGAGGAGGCUGAAGAAGCUUGAUGGUUGUGGUCUCGGCGUCAACAAUGGUGGUCUCGGCGUCAACAAUGGUGGUCUCGACUUCGUCAAUGGUAGCUUAGAGCGGUGGAGGGGGCUGAAUAAGCUUACCUGUGGUGUUCUUGGCUGGUGGUCUCGGCCUCAAAGAUGAAGAAACCGAAGGAGCUGAAGUCGACGGCGAAGGAGAUGAAGUUGACGGCAAAAAGUUUAGAUGUAGGGUUAAUUUUUUUUAUUAGGUUAAACUUUUUAGUUUUACAUUUCCAAACCGGGUUUUGUAAACUAGAAUUUAUUUGUAAACCAAAAUUAAUUAUAUUUGGUAGUUUUAAUUUUUAAUUAA